ensembl:lncRNA MIR924HG MIR924 host gene
GGGAUUCGAACGGCAGGCGGGAAGUGCUCUAGCAGGGGAGUCUGACCUUGUGAGGGAAUACCUGUGUCCCCCCUUUUUUCCCCUUUUUACCCAAUAAAACCCUGCCUUACUCACCCUUUAAAUCAUCUGCGAGCCUGAAUUUUCAUGGCCGUGGGACGGACAAGAACUUUAUCUUCAGCUGAACUAAGAAAAAGUCCUGCAACAUUUUUGGCGCGCAAUGUGGGGGCACCAGAAGCGGGCACCGUUGAGCUGUUGCAACUGUUCUGCUGGAGCCUUAUGUAUGUGGUUGAAACCACCUGUACUACUGGAAUGAAAGCACCUUUACAGAAGAGGCAAUGCAAGUUGUAUUCAUCACAUGUGUAGAAUGAAUUAAGAUUUAUGCCAGUUGCAAAGAAGAAUAUUGGCUCACUAUUUUUCCUCUGGGCAUGUGGAAAUGUAAAUCAGUCCAUGUUACUCACCUCGGAGAAGCAGAAGUACGAUUUACUAUUGUUGCUUGCUUACUUACUCUUAUCAAUUUCUAUGAGAGAGUUGUACUGCGACAUUAGCUCUUUUGACUAGAUGUGAUGACAGACUGUCUUUGGUCCAUUCUCUUUUAUUGCCUUGGAAGAGAAUAAAUGAGGAGUAGUUCUCACCCAUUGCAGCUGAGGCAUCACACCUGUAAUGGGAUUAACAAGAUGAUAAUAUAUCUUUUGCCAAGACCACAUACUAGCAGAAAGAGACCUCAAGUAAACCUCCAGCAGCCAUCUGGACUUCCAUGAAAACAGAACAAUCAGUGAGAUGCAGAGCUUGGAGGAGACAGUUUCCAUAGACUGAAGCACGUGCUGAAGCAAAGUUCACACUUGCAGGAUUAGAAGAGGUUGACCGAAAGAAGGAAGGACAUGGACAGCUAUGUUGUUGUGGAGUCCUGUUUUAUAGUCAUAACCUUGAGUCAAGUGAGUUUGUCUGGACAGACAGAGCUUGUUGCCUUUACUUAUAGGGAAGGCACCGGACACAGACAGCCUCAAGGACAUUUGUUCUAGCCUUUCAGUAUCCUUUCUCUUAAUUAUCUCACCUCAUCCAUGAAGCUGGUAUGUACGAUUUUUCCUUUCUUUCUCAAUCCUUUAAAAAAUUAAAGCUCUAAAUCUCAUUUCCACUUAGAUUUUAAUGUUGCAUUGUAACUUAAGAUAAAACCUUGCUCUGAUGUUAAAAAUACUAAAGUAAGAAGCAAUAUGGCAUAGUGCUUAUGAGCAGGACUACAUAGUUCUUUCUGAAUACAAAUCUCAGAUAAAACACUAUCUCAGUGAUCAACCAGGUUAAGCAACCUUUUUAGUGCCUCAAUUAUUCCAUUUGUAAAAUUGUAAUAAUGAUAGUACUAACCUAUAAGAUUGUGGUGAGGAUUAAGUCAGAUAAUACAAAAGAAGCAUUUAGAGUAUUUCCUGGCAUUAUCUACCAUUUAUUGAAUUUUUAUGGUUAAGAAGAAUAAGGAAAAGCAGAAGAAAAGGAAAAGAGAAAAAAUACAUAAGAAGAAGGAAGAGUGGUAAGCUCUAGUAAAUUACAACAAACGGUAACGUAGAAAACAUUUGUUAGCCCUUAAUAUAGGCCAGGCACUGUGUUCAAUGCUUAAACCUCAUUACUGUUCUUUGAAGUGGAUAACAUUAUUCCUUCCAUUUUAAAGAAAGGAAUACUAAAGACAACUUUGUCAAUAUUAUUCAUGUAAUAAAUGACAGAAUUUGACCAAGACAAUAGAGAA